UACAGAGGGUGCGAGCGUUGUUCGGAAUUACUGGGCGUAAAGGGCGCGUAGGCGGAUAGUUCAGUCGGGGGUGAAAGCCCGGGGCUCAACCUCGGAACUGCCUUCGAUACUGGCUAUCUUGAGUACGGGAGAGGUGUGUGGAACUCCGAGUGUAGAGGUGAAAUUCGUAGAUAUUCGGAAGAACACCAGUGGCGAAGGCGACUCUCUGGGCCUUUCCUGACGCUGAGACGCGAAAGCGUGGGGAGCGAACCGG
rnacentral:rRNA from 1 species